rnacentral:rRNA from 1 species
GACGAACGCUGGCGGCGUGCUUAACACAUGCAAGUCGAACGGAGCUUGUUGGAUAGAGACUUCGGUCAAUUGAAUUCAAGCUUAGUGGCGGACGGGUGAGUAACGCGUGAGGAACCUGCCUUUCAGAGGGGGACAACAGUUGGAAACGACUGCUAAUACCGCAUAACAUAUAUUUGUCGCAUGGCAGAUAUAUCAAAGAUUUAUCGCUGAAAGAUGGCCUCGCGUCUGAUUGGCUAGUUGGUGAGGUAACGGCCCACCAAGGCGACGAUCAGUAGCCGGACUGAGAGGUUGACCGGCCACAUUGGGACUGAGAUACGGCCCAG